rnacentral:tRNA from 1 species
GUCCCUGUAGCGCAAUGGAUAGCACGUUGGACUUCUAAUCCAAAGGUCGUGGGUUCGAAUCCCACUUUGGAUG